GACGAACGCUGGCGGCGUGCUUAACACAUGCAAGUCGAACGGAAAGGCCCUGCUUUUGUGGGGUGCUCGAGUGGCGAACGGGUGAGUAACACGUGAGUAACCUGCCCUUGACUUUGGGAUAACUUCAGGAAACUGGGGCUAAUACCGGAUAGGAGCUCCUGCUGCAUGGUGGGGGUUGGAAAGUUUCGGCGGUUGGGGAUGGACUCGCGGCUUAUCAGCUUGUUGGUGGGGUAGUGGCUUACCAAGGCUUUGACGGGUAGCCGGCCUGAGAGGGUGACCGGCCACAUGGGGACUGAGAUACGGCCCAGACUCCUACGGGAGGCAGCAGUGGGGAAUAUUGCACAAUGGGCGGAAGCCUGAUGCAGCAACGCCGCGUGCGGGAUGACGGCCUUCGGGUUGUAAACCGCUUUCGCCUGUGACGAAGCGUGAGUGACGGUAAGGGGUAAAGAAGCACCGGCUAACUACG
rnacentral:rRNA from 1 species